UGGGGAAUUGUUCGCAAUGGGCGCAAGCCUGACGACGCAACGCCGCGUGGAGGAUGAAGAUCUUCGGGUCGUAAACUCCUUUCGAUCGAGACGAACGGCUUCCGGGUGAACAAUCCGGGAGAGUGACGGUACCGAGCGAAGAAGCCCCGGCUAACUCAGUGCCAGCAGCCGCGGUAAUACGGGGGGGGCAAGCGUUGUUCGGAAUUACUGGGCGUAAAGGGCUCGUAGGCGGCCAUCUAAGUCAGACGUGAAAUCCCUCGGCUUAACCGGGGAACUGCGUCUGAUACUGGAUGGCUUGAGUUUGGGAGAGGGAUGCGGAAUUCCAGGUGUAGCGGUGAAAUGCGUAGAUAUCUGGAGGAACACCGGUGGCGAAGGCGGCAUCCUGGACCAAUACUGACGCUGAGUGAGCGAAAGCCAGGGGAGCA
rnacentral:rRNA from 1 species